UUGCAGACAAUUAAUCUGACCAUCCACCUCUUUCCAUGGGGUCCCAGUAUGCAGUGGCUGCAGACAGCAGACUCUUUGGUAGUAUAUGCAACCUGUGCUUGCACAGGUUGCCCCAAGGGACCUUAAACACAGUC
ensembl:snoRNA SNORA70 Small nucleolar RNA SNORA70